UACGGAGGGUGCGAGCGUUGUCCGGAAUCACUGGGCGUAAAGGGCGCGUAGGCGGCGCGGUAAGCGUGCGGUGAAAGCCCGGGGCUCAACCCCGGGUCGGCCGUGCGGACUGCCGGGCUCGAGCACUGUAGAGGCGGGUGGAAUUCCGGGUGUAGCGGUGGAAUGCGUAGAGAUCCGGAAGAACACCGGUGGCGAAGGCGGCCUGCUGGGCAGUAGCUGACACUGAGGCGCGACAGCGUGGGGAGCAAACAGG
rnacentral:rRNA from 1 species